rnacentral:rRNA from 1 species
GUAGGGAAUAUUGGGCAAUGGUCGGAAGACUGACCCAGCCAUGCCGCGUGCAGGAAGACGGCCCUCUGGGUUGUAAACUGCUUUUAUCUGGGAAGAAAAAGGCCAUGCGUGGCAAAUUGCCGGUACCAGAUGAAUAAGCACCGGCUAACUCCGUGCCAGCAGCCGCGGUAAUACGGAGGGUGCGAGCGUUGUCCGGAUUUAUUGGGUUUAAAGGGUGCGUAGGCGGCUGAUUAAGUCAGCGGUGAAAGACUUCGGCUUAACCGGAGCAGUGCCGUUGAUACUGGUUGGCUUGAGUGUCGGAGGGGUACAUGGAAUUGAUGGUGUAGCGGUGAAAUGCAUAGAUACCAUCAGGAACACCGAUAGCGAAGGCAUUGUACUGGCCGACAACUGACGCUGAUGCACGAAAGGGUGGGGAUCGAACAGGAUUAGAAACCCCGGUAGUCC